ACCUAGUCCCACCACACCCCCAAGGGUAUUCAGCAGUGAUAGAUAUUGUCUAUAAGCGCUAGCUUGACCCAGUUAUAGAGAAGAGAGCCGGCCAACUUGGUGCCAGCCGCCGCGGCUAGACCAACUGGACUCAAAUUGAUAAUCCCCGGCGUUAAGCGUGAUUAAAGCCAUGAACAAAUUAGAGUUAAACCUACGUUGAGCAGUGAAAAGCACACGAUAGGGAAAUCCAAAAACGAAAGUUAUUCUAAUCCUUGCUUGAAUACACGACAGCUAGGACACAAACUGGGAUUAGAUACCCCACUAUGCCUAGCCGUAAACUAUUAACCUACACCCACCCGCGCCAGGGAACUACGAGCUUUAGCUUAAAACCCAAAGGACUUGACGGUGUCCCACCCAACUAGAGGAGCCUGUUCUAUAAUCGAUGACCCCCGCUCCACCCAACCCCCCCUUGCUUUAUCAGCCUGUAUACCUCCGUCGUAAACCCGCCGUAUGAAUGUACCCAAGCGGAUUUAAUGGUCCCACACCAACACGUCAGGUCAAGGUGCAGCCAAUGGGAGAGGUAAGUGAUGGGCUACAAUUUCUAGUCUAGAACAAACGAAAUUCUGCAUGAAACACAGUUAUGAAGGAGGAUUUAGUAGUAAAAGGAAAGUAGCGUGUUCUUUUUAACAUGGCCCUGGGACGUGUACACA
rnacentral:rRNA from 1 species